rnacentral:rRNA from 1 species
GGGUUGUGAGGUUAAGCGACUAAGCGUACACGGUGGAUGCCCUGGCAGUCAGAGGCGAUGAAGGACGUGCUAAUCUGCGAUAAGCGUCGGUAAGGUGAUAUGAACCGUUAUAACCGGCGAUUUCCGAAUGGGGAAACCCAGUGUGUUUCGACACACUAUCAUUAACUGAAUCCAUAGGUUAAUGAGGCGAACCGGGGGAACUGAAACAUCUAAGUACCCCGAGGAAAAGAAAUCAACCGAGAUUCCCCCAGUAGCGGCGAGCGAACGGGGAGCAGCCCAGAGCCUGAAUCAGUGUGUGUGUUAGUGGAAGCGUCUGGAAAGGCGCGCGAUACAGGGUGACAGCCCCGUACACAAAAAUACACAUACUGUGAGCUCGAUGAGUAGGGCGGGACACGUGGUAUCCUGUCUGAAUAUGGGGGGACCAUCCUCCAAGGCUAAAUACUCCUGACUGACCGAUAGUGAACCAGUACCGUGAGGGAAAGGCGAAAAGAACCCCGGCGAGGGGAGUGAAAAAGAACCUGAAACCGUGUACGUACAAGCAGUGGGAGCACGCUUAGGCGUGUGACUGCGUACCUUUUGUAUAAUGGGUCAGCGACUUAUAUUCUGUAGCAAGGUUAACCGAAUAGGGGAGCCGAAGGGAAACCGAGUCUUAACUGGGCGUUAAGUUGCAGGGUAUAGACCCGAAACCCGGUGAUCUAGCCAUGGGCAGGUUGAAGGUUGGGUAACACUAACUGGAGGACCGAACCGACUAAUGUUGAAAAAUUAGCGGAUGACUUGUGGCUGGGGGUGAAAGGCCAAUCAAACCGGGAGAUAGCUGGUUCUCCCCGAAAGCUAUUUAGGUAGCGCCUCGUGAAUUCAUCUCCGGGGGUAGAGCACUGUUUCGGCAAGGGGGUCAUCCCGACUUACCAACCCGAUGCAAACUGCGAAUACCGGAGAAUGUUAUCACGGGAGACACACGGCGGGUGCUAACGUCCGUCGUGAAGAGGGAAACAACCCAGACCGCCAGCUAAGGUCCCAAAGUCAUGGUUAAGUGGGAAACGAUGUGGGAAGGCCCAGACAGCCAGGAUGUUGGCUUAGAAGCAGCCAUCAUUUAAAGAAAGCGUAAUAGCUCACUGGUCGAGUCGGCCUGCGCGGAAGAUGUAACGGGGCUAAACCAUGCACCGAAGCUGCGGCAGCGACGCUUAUGCGUUGUUGGGUAGGGGAGCGUUCUGUAAGCCUGCGAAGGUGUGCUGUGAGGCAUGCUGGAGGUAUCAGAAGUGCGAAUGCUGACAUAAGUAACGAUAAAGCGGGUGAAAAGCCCGCUCGCCGGAAGACCAAGGGUUCCUGUCCAACGUUAAUCGGGGCAGGGUGAGUCGACCCCUAAGGCGAGGCCGAAAGGCGUAGUCGAUGGGAAACAGGUUAAUAUUCCUGUACUUGGUGUUACUGCGAAGGGGGGACGGAGAAGGCUAUGUUGGCCGGGCGACGGUUGUCCCGGUUUAAGCGUGUAGGCUGGUUUUCCAGGCAAAUCCGGAAAAUCAAGGCUGAGGCGUGAUGACGAGGCACUACGGUGCUGAAGCAACAAAUGCCCUGCUUCCAGGAAAAGCCUCUAAGCAUCAGGUAACAUCAAAUCGUACCCCAAACCGACACAGGUGGUCAGGUAGAGAAUACCAAGGCGCUUGAGAGAACUCGGGUGAAGGAACUAGGCAAAAUGGUGCCGUAACUUCGGGAGAAGGCACGCUGAUAUGUAGGUGAAGUCCCUCGCGGAUGGAGCUGAAAUCAGUCGAAGAUACCAGCUGGCUGCAACUGUUUAUUAAAAACACAGCACUGUGCAAACACGAAAGUGGACGUAUACGGUGUGACGCCUGCCCGGUGCCGGAAGGUUAAUUGAUGGGGUUAGCGCAAGCGAAGCUCUUGAUCGAAGCCCCGGUAAACGGCGGCCGUAACUAUAACGGUCCUAAGGUAGCGAAAUUCCUUGUCGGGUAAGUUCCGACCUGCACGAAUGGCGUAAUGAUGGCCAGGCUGUCUCCACCCGAGACUCAGUGAAAUUGAACUCGCUGUGAAGAUGCAGUGUACCCGCGGCAAGACGGAAAGACCCCGUGAACCUUUACUAUAGCUUGACACUGAACAUUGAGCCUUGAUGUGUAGGAUAGGUGGGAGGCUUUGAAGUGUGGACGCCAGUCUGCAUGGAGCCGACCUUGAAAUACCACCCUUUAAUGUUUGAUGUUCUAACGUUGACCCGUAAUCCGGGUUGCGGACAGUGUCUGGUGGGUAGUUUGACUGGGGCGGUCUCCUCCUAAAGAGUAACGGAGGAGCACGAAGGUUGGCUAAUCCUGGUCGGACAUCAGGAGGUUAGUGCAAUGGCAUAAGCCAGCUUGACUGCGAGCGUGACGGCGCGAGCAGGUGCGAAAGCAGGUCAUAGUGAUCCGGUGGUUCUGAAUGGAAGGGCCAUCGCUCAACGGAUAAAAGGUACUCCGGGGAUAACAGGCUGAUACCGCCCAAGAGUUCAUAUCGACGGCGGUGUUUGGCACCUCGAUGUCGGCUCAUCACAUCCUGGGGCUGAAGUAGGUCCCAAGGGUAUGGCUGUUCGCCAUUUAAAGUGGUACGCGAGCUGGGUUUAGAACGUCGUGAGACAGUUCGGUCCCUAUCUGCCGUGGGCGCUGGAGAACUGAGGGGGGCUGCUCCUAGUACGAGAGGACCGGAGUGGACGCAUCACUGGUGUUCGGGUUGUCAUGCCAAUGGCACUGCCCGGUAGCUAAAUGCGGAAGAGAUAAGUGCUGAAAGCAUCUAAGCACGAAACUUGCCCCGAGAUGAGUUCUCCCUGACCCUUUAAGGGUCCUGAAGGAACGUUGAAGACGACGACGUUGAUAGGCCGGGUGUGUAAGCGCAGCGAUGCGUUGAGCUAACCGGUACUAAUGAACCGUGAGGCUUAACCUUACAACGCCGAAGCUGUU